rnacentral:ncRNA from 1 species
AUUCUGAUUGAUCCUGCCAGUAGUUAUAUGCUUGUCUCAAAGAUUAGCUAUGCAUGUCUAAGUACACACGAAUUAACAGUGAAACCGCAAAUGCUCAUUAUAUCAGUUAUGGUUCCUUAGAUCGUUACAGUUACUUGGAUAACUGUGGUAAUUCUAGAGCUAAUACAUGCCAUUAAAACACGGACCUUUUGG